rnacentral:rRNA from 1 species
UACCAGCACCCCGAGUGGUCGGGACGUUUAUUGGGCCUAAAGCAUCCGUAGCCGGUUCUACAAGUCUUCCGUUAAAUCCACCUGCUUAACAGAUGGGCUGCGGAAGAUACUAUGGAGCUAGGAGGCGGGAGAGGCAAGCGGUACUCGAUGGGUAGGGGUAAAAUCCGUUGAUCCAUUGAAGACCACCAGUGGCGAAGGCGGUUUGCCAGAACGCGCUCGACGGUGAGGGAUGAAAGCUGGGGGAGCAAACCGG